AGUUCGAUCAUGGCUCAGAUUGAACGCUGGCGGGAUGCUACACAUGCAAGUCGAACGCGGCAGCCUGGACUUCGGUCUGGUGGCGAGUGGCGAACGGGUGAGUAAUGUAUCGGAACGUGCCUAGUAGCGGGGGAUAACUACGCGAAAGCGGCAGCUAAUACCACAUACGCCCUUCGGGGAAGCGGGGACCUUCGGGCCUCGCACUAUUAGAGCAGCCGAUAUCGGAUUAGCUAGUUGGUGGGGUAACGGCUUACCAGGCGACGAUCCGUAGCUGGUUUGAGAGGACGACCAGCCACACUGGGACUGAGACCCGGCUGAACUCUACGGGAGGCAGCAGUGGGAAUUUUGGACAAUGGGGAAACCCUGAUCCAGCCAUCCCGUGUGCGAUGAAGGCCUUCGGGUUGUAAAGCUUUUUGGCGAAGAAACGGCCUGGAUAACCACCGAUGCAACUGACGGUACCUGCAGAGUCAGCACCGGUAACUACGUGCCAGCGGCGCGGUGGCGGGUGCAAGCGUUAAUCAGAUUUUUGGGCGUAAAGCGUGCGCAGGCGGUUCGGAAAGAAGAUGUAAAUCCCAGGCUUAACUUUGGAACGCCAUUUUUUUAACUGCAAAGCUAAAGUGUGUCAGAGGGAGGUGGAAUUCCGCGUGUAGCGGUGAAAUGCGUAGAUAUGCGGAGGAACACCGAUGGCAGAAGGCAGCCUCCUGGGAUAACACUGACGCUCAUGCACGAAAGCGUGGGGAGCAAACAGGAUUAGAUACCCUGGUAGUCCACGCCCUAAACGAUGUCAACUAGCUGUUGGGGCCUUCGGGCCUUGGUAGCGCAGCUAACGCGCGUGAAGUUGACCGCCUGGGAGUACGGUCGCAAGAUUAAAACUCAAAGGAAUUGACGGGGACCCGCACAAGCGGUGGAUGAUGUGGAUUAAUUCGAUGCAACGCGAAAAACCUUACCUACCCUUGACAUGUCUGGAAUCCCGAAGAGAUUUGGGAGUGCUCGCAAGAGAACCCGGAACUGGGUGUACGCUGGCUGUCGUCAGCUCGUGUCGUGAGAUGUUGGGUUAAGUCCGCAACGAGCGCAACCCUUGUCAUUAGUUGCUACGAGGGCACUCUAAUGAGACCGGUGACAAACGGAAGGAUUGAGGAUGACGUCAGAGUCUCAUGGCCCUUAUGGGUAGGGCUUCACACGUCAUACAAUGGUCGGGACAGAGGGGUCGCCAACCCGCGAGGGGAAGACCAAUCCCAGAAACCCGAUCGUAGUCCGGAUCACCGAUCUGCAACUCGACUGCGUGAAGUCGGAAUCGCUAGUAAUCGCGGAUCAGCAUGUCGCGGUGAAUACGUUCCCGGGUCUUGUACACACCGCCCAUACACCAUGGGAGUGGGUUUUACCAGAAGUAGUUAACCUAACCAUCAAGGAGGGCGAUUACCACGGUAGGAUUCAUGACUGGGGUGAAGUAGUAACAAGGUAA
rnacentral:rRNA from 1 species